GUCCUUGAUGAUAGCUGCCAUCCCUAAUAUUAUUGGUUGGCUUGCAAUAUCAUUUGCCAAAGAUUACUCAUUUCUUUACAUGGGAAGACUGUUGGAGGGUUUUGGUGUGGGAAUAAUAUCGUACACGGUUCCUGUAUAUAUAGCUGAGAUAGCACCUCAAAACAUGAGAGGCCGCCUUGGUUCUGU